rnacentral:rRNA from 1 species
UAGGGAAUAUUGGACAAUGGGGGCAACCCUGAUCCAGCGACGCCGCGUGUGUGAAGAAGGCCUGCGGGUUGUAAAGCACUUUUAGUGGGGAGAAAAAGCCACGGACUAAUACUCUGUGGUCUUGAUUUAACCCAAAGAAAAAGCACCGGCUAACUCUGUGCCAGCAGCCGCGGUAAUACAGAGGGUGCGAGCGUUAAUCGGAAUUACUGGGCGUAAAGCGUGCGUAGACGGUCUUGUAAGUCGGAUGUGAAAUCCCCGGGCUUAACCUGGGAAUUGCAUUCGAAACUGCAAGGCUUGGGUGCGGAAGAGGGAAGCGGAAUUUCCGGUGUAGCGGUGAAAUGCGUAGAUAUCGGAAGGAACAUCAGUGGCGAAGGCGGCUUCCUGGUCCAGCACCGACGUUCAGGCACGAAAGCGUGGGGAGCAAACAGGAUUAGAUACCCUGGUAGUCCACGCCAUAAACGAUGAGAACUAGACGUUGAGAGGGUAAGCCUCCCAGUGUCGUAGCUAACGCGCUAAGUUCUCCGCCUGGGGAGUACGGCCGCAAGGU